UUCAUUAAAAGGGGCUA
rnacentral:miRNA from 1 species